rnacentral:rRNA from 1 species
GACGAACGCUGGCGGCGUGCUUAACACAUGCAAGUCGAACGGAAAGGCCCUGCUUUUGUGGGGUGCUCGAGUGGCGAACGGGUGAGUAACACGUGAGUAACCUGCCCUUGACUUUGGGAUAACUUCAGGAAACUGGGGCUAAUACCGGAUAGGAGCUCCUGCUGCAUGGUGGGGGUUGGAAAGUUUCGGCGGUUGGGGAUGGACUCGCGGCUUAUCAGCUUGUUGGUGGGGUAGUGGCUUACCAAGGCUUUGACGGGUAGCCGGCCUGAGAGGGUGACCGGCCACAUUGGGACUUAGAUACGGCCCAGACUCCUACGGGCGGCAGCAGUGGGGAAUAUUGCACAAUGGGCGGAAGCCUGAUGCAGCAACGCCGCGUGCGGGAUGACGGCCUUCGGGUUGUAAACCGCUUUCGCCUGUGACGAAGCGUGAGUGACGGUAAUGGGUAAAGAAGCACCGGCUAACUACGUG